CUUGUGCCUUAGCCUCCCGAGUAGCUGGAACUACAGACAUGCGCCAUGAUGUCCAUCUAAUUUUCAUAUAUAUAUAUAUAUAUAUGUAUUUUUUUUUUUAACAGACAUGGGGGUUUCACCAUGUUGGCCAGGCUGGUCUCGAACUUCUGACCUCAGGUGAUCCACCCACCUCAGCCACCCAAAGUACUGGGAUUACAGGUGUGAGCCACACCUGGUUUCCUUAUUAUUUUCACUUGUCAAAUGUGUAUGUACGUAUAUUUGUGUGUGUAUGUUUUUUAAUGUUGUACAUACAUACAUUUUUUUUUUCUUUUUCACUCUGUUGUCCAGGCUGGAGUGCAGUGGCGUGAUCUCAGCUUACUGCAACCUCUGCCUCCCAGGUUCAAGCAAUUCUCCUGUCUCAGCCUCCAGAGUAGCUGGGAUUACAGGUGCACACCACCAUGCCUGGCUAGUUUUUAUAUUUUUAGUAGAGGUGGGGUUUCAACAUAUUGGUCAGGCUGGUCUCGAACUCCUGACCUCAGGUGAUCCACCCACCUCAGCCUCCCAAAGUGCUUGGAUUACAGGCAUGAGCCACCAUGCCCAGCUGAAACAUACAUUUUUAUGUUGUAGGUUUUCUUCAAAGGAAUCCAAAUUCUACAACAGCAGGAAUGAUAUACCCAGCACUUACCAUAGUCUGGCUUAUAUGGGCAGGCAAUUAUUUAUGGAUGAAUGAAUUUCUAUUGCCACAGUGCAGGUUUUAAUUCUUUUCAACAAAGAUUAUAAGCUCCUUAAAAGCAGAGAUUGUCUAAUUAAAGUUUGAUCUUCCACAGCUCAGUAGGCAGUGUCUUGGACACAGAAGGUAGGUGUUCUAUAGAUAUUUAUUCUAUGAAUCUUGAAUUACUAACCUAGACUCUCUUUCUCUUCUAAUUCACAUAGCAUAUGUGAUUGAUUAAAGUUCACAACUCAUUGUUGGUAAUGUCAUAUAAAUUAUUAGGCUUGUUGUCCAGUUUGGAAAAAUCUCCAAUAAGCUAUUUAUUUAUUUAGACACAGGAUCUCUUUCUGUUGCCCAGGCUGGAGUGCAGUAGUGAGACCACAGCUUGCUGCAUCCUAUAUCCUGAUCCUCUAGCCUCAGCCUCCUGAAUAGCUGGGACUACAGACACAUAUCACCACACCCAGCUAAUUAAAAAAACUUUUUUUGUAGAGAUAAGGUCUCACCAUCUUGCCCUGGCUGGUCUCAAACUUCUGGCCUAGGUGGGAGGAUUGCUUGAACCCAGGAGUUCAAGACCAGCCUGGACACAUGGUGAGACCUGUCUCUGCAAACAAAACAAAAUCCUACAGAAAACCCGGACAUGGUUGUGCAUGCCUGUAGUCCCAGCUACUUGGGAGGUGGGAGGAUCGCUGGAGCGCAGUAGUUGGAGGUUACGGUGAGCUAUGAUCAUGCAACUCCACUCCAGCCUGGGUGACAGAGUGAAACCCUGUCUCUAAAAAAAAAAACACUUUUUUGGCUAGGUAUUGAUGAAUGCUAAAUCUUUACAAUUUUACACAUCCAAUAAUUGGAAUAAUUUCCCACAGAUUAGCUUCAGGUUCCCAAAAUUUCAACCCUGCUUCUCUUCUACUAUUCACAUAGUUUUUGAUGCUAGAACAUUGGACACAUUAAAAUAACUUCAAGAGUUCUGGCCCUGCACCUUUGUUUUGCAAUGCUGGGUAGAUCAGCACAACGGGCAAUUGGAGUAUUCUUGGAAGCCACUGGGACAGCUGGCAAUAUCUUAACUACACAUGGAAGUGACUGUGGGUUAUAAAAAUAUAUCCCAGUAAAUUCAAACCAAAUGUAUUCCUAACUCAACUUCCCUUUAGCUAAAUUUCAAAAAUGUUUGCUUGCCACUCCAACACUAGACAAAGGGAAACAUGGUGGAGGGAAGUCACUAAGGACUAAAGAUUGCAGUUUAAAAUACAUUACUUUUAUAAAUUUUACAAAAGCAUAGGACAGUGUGAACAUAUUACUAGGGACCCUUCCAGGGACUUGGAAAGGGCUAGUGUAAAUGAGGGCACCUGAAGUUGAAGCCUCCUUAGCUUCACAGUAAAUCUGCUUCAGAGUCUACGGCCAUUUUAAUUACUGAGUAAACUGUCAACUUUCAGAGUCAGCUCUAUGUAGGGCUAGUGAAUAUGUUGAUUACAGCUCCAUUUGAGGAAGUUUUUUUUUUUUUUUUUUGAGAUGGAGUCUGACUCUGUCCCCAGGCUGGAGUGCAAUGGUGUGAUCUCAGCUCACUGCAACCUCUGCCUCCUGGGUCCAAAUGAUUCUCAUGCCUCCGCCUCCUGAGUAGCUGGGAUUACAGGUGUGUGCCACCAUGCCCAGCUAAUUUUUGUAUUUUUAGUAGAGACAGGGUUUCACCAUGUUGGCCAGGAUGGUCUUGAUCUCCUGACCUUGUGAUCCGUCUGCCUUGGCCUCCCAAAGUGCAGGGAUUACAGGUGUGAGCCACCGCGCGCCCUGCCUCUUUGGUCUUAUAAUUACUUUAUACUCCUAAAAAGUAUUGAGGACUCCAAAAAGCUUUUAUGUGGAUCAUAUUUAUCAACAUUUACUAUAUUAGGAAUUAAAACAAACAUAUAAAAUAUUUAUUCAUUUAAAACAACAAUAAUAAACCUGUUACAUGUUAACAUAACAUAAAUAACUUUUUUUUUGAGAGAGGGUCUGGCCAUGUUGCCCAGGCUGAUUUUGAACUCCUGGGCUCAGGUGAUCUUCCCGCCUCGGCCUCCCAAAGUGCUGGGAUUACAGGUGUGAGCCACUUCAUUUGGCCUAAUAACAUAUUUUUAAUGAAAAAUAACUAUUUUCCAAAGCAAAAUAAUUUAGUGAGAAGAGUGGCAUUAUUUUACAUUUCUGCAAAUCUCUUCAGUGUCUGGGCUAAUAGAAGAUUCUCAUAUCUGCGUCUGCGUUCCAUCUGUAUCACAGGCAUGUAGUCUCUGGAAGACCUCACUGUAUUGUUAUUAGAGUGAAAAAGGCAGUAAGUCUUAGUAUGAAAAUAAAGUCUUAGUAUGAAAAU
rnacentral:lncRNA from 1 species